GACGAACGCUGGCGGCGUGCUUAACACAUGCAAGUCGAACGGAAAGGCCCUGCUUUUGUGGGGUGCUCGAGUGGCGAACGGGUGAGUAACACGUGAGUAACCUGCCCUUGACUUUGGGAUAACUUCAGGAAACUGGGGCUAAUACCGGAUAGGAGCUCCUGCUGCAUGGUGGGGGUUAGAAAGUUUCGGCGGUUGGGGAUGGACUCGCGGCUUAUCAGCUUGUUGGUGGGGUAGUGGCUUACCAAGGCUUUGACGGGUAGCCGGCCUGAGAGGGUGACCGGCCACAUUGGGACUGAGAUACGGCCCAGACUCCAACGGGAGGCAGCAGUGGGGAAUAUUGCACAAUGGGCGGAAGCCUGAUGCAGCAACGCCGCGUGCGGGAUGACGGCCUUCGGGUUGUAAACCGCUUUCGCCUGUGACGAAGCGUGAGUGACGGUAAUGGGUAAAGAAGCACCGGCUAACUACGUG
rnacentral:rRNA from 1 species